rnacentral:misc_RNA from 1 species
AGCACGAGAAUAAGCAAGCUAAUGAUUUAAAUACCAUUUCAAUUUCCCUUGUUCAGAAGUUCAGCCCACAAUUCAAUAUUUCAAUUCAAGAACCACCCAGUUUUGGUGGAACAUAUGUACAUGAAGAAAUAGAUCACUGAAAAACAUGCAACAGAAACCACACUGAUUACAUCCACAAUGAAUUGAUAUCAUUAGUGAUUUAUGUCAUUGAUGCUGAUACUCAGGGUUAAAUGCAAGAGCCUCCCUAUAAAUCAGCUCCUUCAUCAGUUCUUCAGUCAUCGCAUGCCGCUCAAAAUCAAAGCUGAAGGGAGUCAUGCAGACUGGCUCAUCACUGAUAUCAUGAAGUGAGUUUAGGUAGGGAUGAGCUAGCGCAUCUUCAACUGUAAUCCUCAGUCUGGGAUCAAAUGUUAACAUCUUUUCGACAAGAUCAAUAGCUGCCGGGUGGACAUUUGGAAACUUCUCAGUGAAAGAUUGACGAUGAUAAGGAGGAAGUUGUCGAAUGUAUUUCUUUGCAUUUUCAUUCAAAAACCCCAACUCAGCCUCUGAUGGAGUCCCAAUUAGCUCCAUGAGCAAACGCAGUUGAUGCACAUGAUCUCUACCAGGAAAUAGGGGCUUCCGAUCCAUCAACUCCAUGAAAAUACAACCCACUGACCAUACAUCAAUAGCUGCAGUGUAAUCUGAAGAGUUCAACAAUAGUUCCGGUGCACGGUACCAUCUUGUAACAACAUAUUCUGUCAUGAAAUCAGUUUCUGAAGUAACACGAGCCAGACCAAAAUCACAUAUCUUCAAGUCACAAUUUGCAUUCAAGAGGAGAUUGCUUGGUUUUAAAUCUCUGUGCAGAACAUUUGCAGAAUGUAUAUAUUUCAAUCCUCGGAGAAUUUGAUACAGGAAAUACUGGCAGUGCUCUUCUGAUAGUGCUUGAUUGGAACGAAUGAUUUGAUGGAGAUCAGUGUCCAUUAGCUCAUAAGCAAUGUAAACAUCAUUAAAUGAUUCCCUCUGGGGUGGAGGAAUUAUAUCCCUGAUUGCAACAACGUUUUCAUGAUCCAUAUGACGAAGCAACUUGAUCUCACGGAGAGUCCUUUUGGCAUCGAUUUUAUUAUCAAAAGCAUUCGCUAUCUUCUUUAUCGCCACAUGCUCACCGGUCUCCGAGUUCAGUGCCGAGCAAACGAUGCCGUAUGCGCCCUUGCCGAUGGGCAUGAUAGGAGGCUUGUACUUAGCAGUGACCUCGAAUAUAUUACCGAAUAUGUUGUACUGCAUGAAUCUCCCACCGUGGCUGAGAGUGGCCGGAAUAUUUUCGAUUCCACCGGUAAGGGAGACCUGCUGCUGCUGUUGUUGGGGGUUAGAAGGUGGUGGUGGCGGUGGAGCGGUAGCUGCAGCGGCGGCCGCAUCCUCCAUCUCAGUGUCCGCCGGCUGGCCCGGUCCGCCCCCGUCCAUUUCUGAAAUUUGUUGCAAGAGUGUCGUAAGAGAGCGGCGGUUGAGGUUGGUUUUGGGGUCAACAGAUCUGAAGGUGUGGGCGUGGUGUGUGUGUGCACGCAGUGCCCUUUUUGGUUGUCGUAGUUUUGUUUUUGGUUUGGUUUUUGCUUUUUGUGCUCUCGAAUUCUAUGAAAAGGUUAAAGUUGAAAGUCA